GGGGCGUGGAAUUAGGAUGGAGCAGAGAGAAAAGUGAAAUUGGAGGAGGGCUCCUUAGAGCCUCUCCCAACCCAGCAAGGAUCAGCGGCAUGGAUCUUGCCCAUCACAACUGAUCACUGCUGUCUUGCAUCAAGCUGAAGUAGUGGGGACUUUAUACCCCUGCCUAGCCCAGUCGCCGAGCUUGGCCUCCAGAGGAGAGGCUCUGAAGGGGCAGACCCCCGAGCGGCCGACAGCUGGAACCGCUCUGCGGGGUAGUGCGGAUGUGUGUCAGCCAUAGUGGUGAAGGUGAAACGAGGGAGGUCAUUGGAGAUGAAAACGUCACAGCUCUCAGUGGCCUUGAUUUGUUGGGCCAUGAGCAUGAACGUUGGGGUUGUCAUCCUAGAUAUUGGAAGAAGUCCGGGGAAGCCAUAGGUUGUGAACUGGGAGUGAGGAAGAAAGGAUGGGGUGAAACAGCCUGAUGGGAGGGGCCCUAAAGUGUCAGAAUGUUGAAGAAGUUGUUACUCAAGUCCUGGAGGACGGGUCUGGAAGCUGCUUAGGGAGCCCACGCAGUCUGGAGUAUCACUUCUCCGGCCUCUGAGAGGGGAAAGACUUAGCACUUAGAGGCCUGUGGAGAAGUCGUGUUUACAGUAGAAAACCAGGGAUGGUGGUGAGGAGUUUUGGAGGUUGGAGAAAAGUAGGGUCUGAAUCAGGAACAGAGCAAUUCAGAAUGUUAGAAAGAGGAGAGCAGGGUGUUGGUAGUUAGGUGCCAAUGAAGUAGGAAUGAGAGGUGCCAUGGGCUUUGGGCAAAGUGGCCAGAGGUCUUGUCACCUUUGGCUUUGUCGAUGGUGGUCCUAGGAGCUGCAGACUCUGGGUGCUGCUUAGCACAUAGAAUUGCAGGAGACUUCACUUUGCUUUGGAGAAGAGAUGAGAAACAUUUUUAAGGCAAGACUUUGUGAGGAUAAAAAUUAGGAGAGGGUUGUGUUAGGGAUUACUUUGGCUUUUAAAAAACAGCAUCUUCUCAUAUUGGCAUUAAGUUACGACACUCUCCUGCUCCAAAUCCUUUUAAAAAUGUUUAUAUUAUAGUUGAUCUACACUGUUCUGUAGCUCCAAAUCUUUAAUGGCUUUCUAUUUACUUAGGGUUACAACGUCUCUUUUCCUUAGCAAGACCUUCUGGGGAUCUCUGCUUGCUUCCCCCUUGUUUUACGCUUCUUGCUCACUGAACUCUGCACUCUCAGUGCCUUGAAUGUUUGCCUCGGGGCCUUUACACGUGCUCUUCUUUCUGCUUAGAACCCUCUUUCCUCAAUUUUUUACAGACCAACUCCCACUCAUCUUUCAAGCUUUGUGUAAAUGUCACUUCAUCUGACCUUGAACUAAGUCCCUAAUGGAUACUAUAGAGAUAGUUGUUAAGUAUUUUAUAGGUAUCAUGACAUUUCCUGCCACUCUGUUCCAAUCUCCUAACAUAGAAGACGGUUGGUAAAUACAUAUUUAUUUGUGUGAUAGCUUAGUGUCUGUCUCAUUACCACAUGGUCAACUCCAUAAGGGCAUGGGCCAUAUAUUUGUUGUUGUUGUAACUCUUCUGUGGUUUUUUUUCUUUCUUUCUUUCUAAAUUAAAGUAUAGUUGCUUUACAAGGUUGUGCUGAUUUCUGCUGUACAGAAGAGUGGCUUAGUUAUCCACAAAUAUAUUCUUCUUCUUCUUUUUUUUUAAUAUUCCAUUCCAUUAUGGUUUAUCCCAGGAGAUGGGAUAAAAAUUCCCUGUGCUAUGCAGUUGCCUAUCCGUUUGAAAUGUAAUAGACUACCCCAAACUCCUGGGCCAUGUCUUUUUUUGAUCAUUCUUCUUUCCCAGCACCCAGCAUAGUGCCUGGUAUGUAACAGGCUGUGUAAUAGUUGCUGAAUGGUUGUUGUUUGAUGUGUCCCUAAAAUAUUUGCUAUUUUAGCCUUUGAUAAUCAUGUCCUUAAAGAAGAAUUCAUGACGUGAAAAUACUCAGGAGAGAAAACUAGGAGGAGAAAGCAGNUGUGCAGAUCUUUACUAUAUGCAUGGUUUCAAUUUUUUUUAUGUGUAUGCUUUUGUUGUGUGCUUGUGUUAGUGUGUUGUUUGAGCAGGCCUUCCCUGUGUAGUGUCUUUCUCAGAAUUUUAUCAUCCUGGCCAGAUUUCAGGGCCUCAGUUUUUUAUAGGCUUACAGUUGCUGGUCUGUAGAAACAUGUGCCUUCUACUGACUCAAUUUACUAUUUAAAUGAAUGCAUACUUCACUUGGAUUUUGCAUGCCUGGGAAGGAAAUAGUUGAGGAAAGACCUGAAAGAGCUAUGGGAGUGAGCCGAAUGGAUCUGGGAAGAGUGUUGCCAGGUGGAAGGAACAGGAUGAAUGGAGGCCCUGAGGAAGAGGCGUGUGCAUCGUGUUCACAAAAGAGCAGGACAGCUUGUGCAACUGGAGCAGAGGGAGACGGGGAAGGAGCAGUAGGGAAUGAACCCAGAAAAGUGUAGGGGCUGGUAGUAGAGAGUCUUCUAGGUCAUUGUAAAGAGUUGGGCUCUUACUUCAAAUGCGAUGUGAUUCAAAUGAGAUGCUAGAGAGAGGAACAUUCUACAGAGAAGGGAGUAACUGCAUUGGCUUUGUAUUUUAACAGGAUCCUCUGCCUUGAAGGUUAAGAAUCUCCUAAAAGGGGCAAGGAUGGAGGCAGGAGGACCAGUUGGGAUGCCAGGAAGCAGGAGAGAUGGUGGUGGCUUGGUGGUCAAAUGUAGUAGCAGCAUGGGUGGUGAGAAGUGCUGGAAUUCUUUGUUUUGAAGGCUGACCAGACAGUAUUUGCUGAUGGAUUAGAUGAGAGACGUGAAAAAAGUAGAAGAGGGAGAAUGACUCCAGGGUUUUUGACAUGAGCAAAGGUUGAUGUUACACUUAUUAUUGCCAGGACCUUGUAUACGGUACCUGUAUAUUGUUGGUACUUAAUAAAUACUUGGUGAAUGUAUUUGAAUUUAAUCCGCCUCUCGUCUUUUUGUUCUAGUCUCUCUUUAGUUCUCUUUUGCUGGAGUGGUGCUUGAUUGUUGAGAUAAAAAGAUGUUUACGCUGAAGCUGUGUUUGGAGACCAUUAGUUUCUCAGCCUAAGUUGCUUUGUCUAGUAUCUUCAGAGCCUUUUUUUUUAGUAAUCUCUGCCUAUUUCUGCUCCCUCCUGAGCUAAAUUGACAAGUCGUUCUUUUGUGUAUUUUAAUAAAAGCCUUGUUUGUAUUUUAGAUUUUUGAAAAACAACAUUUAAAAGUAGAUUCACUGAUGGUUGAAGAAAUAAAAAAGAAAAGUACUUUCCCAGGAAGUGGUUGUAGCAAUAAUUUUACAUGAUGUAUUUAGAAAAUGUUGAUAAGUAGCUCCUUUGUUAUGUGAUUGAGUCACUGUUUUUGAUAAGCCAAAUGGAGUAUUUAUUGAAUACCAGGUAUUAGGAGCUCUUUAUUAUAUGUGUUAUCUUGGCCAAUCUAUUUUCUAGUAUUAUUAAUAUCAGGCUACUUUGUAGAGGAACAAUGGUGUAUUUUCUCUGCCAAACAACUGAAACUUCACAUAUCUUCUCUGAGUUUUAUUGUGUUUCUGCAAGUUGGUUUCCAAACUCAAGAGCAAUAGUUCAUCUCCAUGGAAUGCUGUUCUUUCACUCUUUGAUUAUGUUUUAUAGUAACUUUAUUUCUGACUUUUGGUGUGUUCUUUAAUUAUACUCCAAUCAUAACCUGAACUUGUUGGUGUCGUGAACAACUUGUUGGUGUUCUGUUAGCUAGUUUUAUAUCACCAUGACCUGAUUCCCAGGCCCAAAAAUGCUGAGUUCUUGAUUACAGAUUGAAUUCAAUUAAAUAGUGUUUUGCUGUUAAGUAUGUUUCCAUUGUAAUUGCUUUUUUGAAAACCAUUGAUUUUAGUGAUUUGUUUAAAGUUCUGAUACUUGCUUUAGGGUGAAAAACCGAGAAACAUCGUAGCUCAGAAUUGCACAGACAUGCCAUGAAUUUUGCCCAUUUUAUUUCUCUGCAUUGGGGAAUUCUUAUGAUAAUUAAGGCAGAAUUUAAGAUGCUGCCCAUAAAAGAAGAAGAGCAUAAGAUAAUCACAAUCAGGUGGUGUAAAAAUGUCAGCCCAAAAUGAUAGUAAUUAUUUUUCCCUGAAGCAUAACUAAUAUCCCAGAGUAAAAAUACAGUUCAUUUAAAUUCCCUUUAGAAUUAUUGCAUAUGAUAUCUCAGUGAUUAUAAGAAUUGGCAAAAGUUUCUACUUCAUAAAGGUAUGUAUGUUAUACAAUAUCAGAAAAUGUAAUUGAAACCAAUGGGUAAAAUAUAUUGUAAAGGAAAUUUUAUAAUCUGGAAAAUAACAAUUCAUAAAUGGAAGGGUUUCUCGAGAAUACACUAUCUGGUUUAUCCUCCUUAUUUUACUGACAAGAAAUAGAAGGCUCAGAGUACUUAAGCAACUUAAUGCCAUAUAAUUACUUGAUAUCAAAGUUGAGAAGAGAACUUUAUGCUCCUCAUACCUGAUUUUAUAAUUUAUAUUUUAUUAUAUAUUGUUAUAUUUUACUAUAUCAAGUUAACUGAUAACGUUUAAGGCAAGAGCCGUAUUUAUUUUAAUUCUUUUUUUGGUGUGACUUGUAAUGAUUAUCUUAGGAUAACUAUGAAAAUUGAUUAAAAACAGUCAAUAAUAGGAAUAUGAGAAUAGAUUCCAAAGAUACUUGCACAGGAAGAAUUGGAUUCAGAGGGGAAGUUAUUUGUAGACUGUUUUAUAAAGAAUAGAUUAUAUGGAGACUUCUCUUUCUAGCAAUAUGACUGGGACCUUCACUGAACUUCACAUGAAAAAUUUUUAAAGCUGUUGGAUAAAACAUUUCAAAUACAUUAAGUUGCUUUGAUGAGCUGACAAGAAAUUUAGGAUUAUUGAGGCCCCUGCCCUCCCCCCCCCCAAAUAAAUAGACUUCAGAGAGAUGUGAGAGAAAGUACUACCAAGGUGGUUUUCACUCUGAGGGUAUUUGCCAAACCCAGGUGAAUCUGCAAAGCCCAGAACCCGCUCACCUUGGGGAAUCUAGUAGAACACACCCCCGUACUCCACGUAGAAUAAGUAUAUGGAUCAUCUAGAAACAUUGUCUCUUUCCCAUAAACUUGCCACCUCUUAUAAGGGACUGAAACACAAUUGAUCACGUUGGCAUAGACUGAAAGGGGAAAAAAAAUUGCUAGAAAAACAAAGUUUUUUGCAUAAAUAUACAUCCCCUGGAUGAUGUGAGAAAAUUUCAAGGUGAGAAGUUAGUUUCAGAUGGGUUUUAGGUUGGUAGUUCCCUCAGGUAAACUAGUAGAAGCUACUAUCACUCAUGUGUUCUGGAGGAAUGUACCUUUCAACCAGGCCUCAAAGAAUUGCUCCAGAUGAAUUUCUAAGGGAAUGAGCUUAUAAAACAUAUACAUACCUGAUACAGAACACAUACAGGAAGAAAAGGAUUCAGGAAUAAGACCCAGCAGAGGUAAGAAACAUAAGAGGAGUUCCCGUUGUGGCACAGUGGUUAACGAAUCCGACUAGGAACCAUGAGGAUGUGGGUUCCAUCCCUGGCCUCGCUCAGUGGGUUAAGGAUCCGGCGUUGCCGUGACCUGUGGUGUAGGUUGCAGACGCGGCUCGGAUCCCGCGUUGCUGUGGCUCUGGCGGAGGCCGGUGGCUACAGCUCCGAUUGGACCCCUAGCCUGGGAACCUCCAUAUGCCGCGGGAGUGGCCCUCGAAAAGGCAAAAAGAAAAAAAAAAAAA
rnacentral:lncRNA from 1 species